rnacentral:lncRNA from 1 species
CUUUAAGAGGGAGGCCAGCUGGUUGCCUUGGGUUGUCACCCACCAUGAAGUGGUGAGGGGUGUGGCUGACAACUUUCCGGAGCCCUUCUCAUUCAAAUUAUUGAUAGCAAUUGAAGGAUGAACAUGAACAAAUCAGUCAGGAGAACUGCUUACAAUGUCUGCUCUGGCCUGGCUUUUGUUCAGGUAGCAAGGUAGUCGGAUCCAGGCACUGGAAGCUGAGAUGACAGCGUUUAAAAGGCACCCUUGAAGUGGAAGUGGGUUGGAUGCAGAAGCCAGGAACAAGGAGCUACUGCAUGCUUUUCACGAGAAGCAUUGGAAAACCUGGUAAAAAGUGUGUGAGCUUCUGGGGUUAGCUUUGGGAACUAAUCGGACUGAUAUUAAAAUAGCAGGAAUUAUCAUGAGCUGAACUUUGACUGGCCCUCAGAGUUACGUGGCCUGAAAUAUCCAAUUUUUCAGCUUGUAGGUCCAGAAACGUAAUCUUACUCACUUACUCUUUGAUGAUAAGAUUUGAGAAAAGUCGAUUCAUGUUAUUCAAAUUCACAAGGGAGCAUUUAUGAAGCCAGGCACUAAUUAAUGAAGAAAGAACUAUCUGGCAUAAUAAACCGAGUGUUCAUUUCCUCUCUUCUGGCUCAUGGUACUAGAGGUUGUACCUCCAGUAUAAAAUUACACGUCAGAAGCUUAGCAAAUGCAGAAAAGAAGCAAAAGAGAGAUAUAGCUAAAGAUGUUUCACUGAGGUGAGUGAGGGUAACUAUGCACUGCUCAGCCACAUCUUGUUCUCCUGGAUUUGGCUGGAUUUCAUGAAUCUGAAGUGGAAAAAAGAAUAUAAGAGCAAUGCAGUAGACUUACCAUAAAACUAAAAAUACUGAAUUUGAAAGAAUGUGCUUUAUUUCAUGAUUAUGUCAUUGUAAUUUUUGAUGUCAAAACUCUUCAUUGUAGGGAGAGUAGCAUUAUCUUUGUCAUAUUUAAACUUGGCAGAGUAAAAAUAUUGGCAACCCUAUUAUUGUUCCUUAUUCUUCCUGUUUCGAGGAUGAAUUGUGGUUCUAUGAAAUCCCAAAGUUUAAGAACCACCAGUUUAGAAAAAUUAACAUCAGUGUACUAAUAGUUUUCAAAGAGACCCAUAGAGAGAAAUGUAUUGCCACAUCAAAGAGUAUGUCAAAUGUGUAUGUAUGCAUACAUAGGUGUAUAUAUUUAUGUAUUUUACAGUGGAAACAGAAGUUUCACAAAAUAACACUGAACCAAAUCUCAUGCAAUAAACUCUGAUCUCUCCUGUCUUGUUAAAAAUGUCAGUCACUAUCCAAUAAUCAAUUGUUGACCUACCAAUGGGUCACAGCCUACAAUUUGAAAAACACUGCAAUAGACUCACAGUCCUCUCUUUCCAGGACAAAGCUGAAUAAACACUGGCAGGUGUUUCCUUUUUGGAUCUCCUUUUCUAGAUUUCAUAUAGUCCACAUCCCUCCUGUUGUAGAUUUGUUAUCCCGGAUAGUUACAAAAUAAUUGAUUAAAUAAGGAAGUUUCCUCAUGCUAGCCAUAAUCCUGUCCUUAGGAUUUAACUUUGCCACCUUGCUUAGAUUGAGAAAUACUUGACUUCAUUUGGAUUUGGAGGUCACUUUGGUCUCUUGAACACAAGGGAAUAUCCUGGUCUCAUUAGCCCCAGCAUUUACUAAAUGCUUCUUACAAUAGGUUUUUUGCAGACUAGCAAUUCACAUUCCAUUUAAUUGAUUCUAUUAUCCUCAAUUGCAGGGCAUGACAUUUUAGUUAAAACUCAAAUUUGAAAUUUGGAGAGGGCCAGAGGGGAGCUCCUUAUUCCGACCCUUGAAUACUGACCAAGCGUUGGCAGACAGAGUAUAGACGAAAGCAGAAAAGACAACUUGGACUAACUAAAGAAAUUCACGAUUAAGAAGAAGUUAAAAUGUCCAAAUGUAAUUAGUUUGGCUAUGUAAACUUAAGAGUAUCUAGUUCAGAAUGUUGCUGUGUGAUUAAAUUAGUUAAUAUAUGUGAUGUGCUUAGCCAUGCCUGGCCCGUAGUAAAUCCUCAAUUCAUUUUAGUCCUUGUUGUGAUUAUCUUACAACUAGUGGUUGACAGGAGUCAUUCAUCUGGGCUCAUGUCCCAGCUUCCUCACUAUUUGUAUAAUAUUAAGAAAGUUAAUCUUUCUAUACCUCAAUUUUCUUACUAAAAAUGUGCUAAUAAUAAUACUAUAGAGUUAUUUAAAGUUGCAUGGGGUUAAUGACACUGCACUGUGCUAUUAUAUAGAGUUCGAUGAAUGCUAGUCCACUAGCAAAACUACCAAUGCUACCUCAUUUUAUAUUUAUCGAUUUAUUAUAAUCCUGCUAUUACGUACAUAGUAAUUGAGAUCUUCAAUUAUACAUCAGAAGUUUUAGAUAGAGCAAAAUUUAAUUGUGGCCUAGCAUUAUGUUUUCUUACCAGGGAACAACAUUCUACACCAAAGGAAUCAAACAAACAUGAAACUUUAAAUAAGUUGAAGCAUUCACUCCAAUCCAAUAGCUGUCCUUUCGAAUUCCCAUUAUGUGCUAAGUACUGUGUCCUAUAAGGAACAUUUCCGCCUGGCAAAGGUUGAAGAAAAGCCGAAUUUAAAAGUCUCCUAUAAUUAGAACUUUGGCUAAUGGCACUUAAACUGAUUAAUGUCCAAUAGGACCCACUCUACGGAAGCAUAUUUUUGAGGCAGUUAUACAUUUAUAUUAAAUUAAAUAUUCGUUGAGCGAAUGAGUUUAUGUAGCAGUGUCUCCAUGUGGUUCUUGGAGUUAAUUCUGUAAGGAUAUGGCCACUGUAGCUGAAGGCCUUGUUCCUUGCUGUUUUCUCUGCCUGGAAUGUUCUUAUCAAACUCAUUCUGAUACAGCUGACUUUCCUCUCAUUAUUCACCAUAGCCCUCUCUGGAGAUCCUACCAAAUGUGAGUCCCAGCCUCAGUCUGUCUUUCCCCUACUACCCUAUUGCAUAGUCUUCUUUGUACAUAUCACUAGUUGGAGAAUUCUUGUUAAUUUAUGAGCUGCUUAUUGCCCAUGCCCCCAAUAGAGCUAAAGCUCCAGGAAGGCAGGGACCUGACUGUAUUUUUUCCUGUCUAUAUUAUUUUUCUAUUACCUGUAACAAAUUUCUAUAAGCAUAGCAAUUUAAAACAAUACAUAUUUUCUAUCUGACCAUGUUCCCAGGUCAGGAGUCUAGGUGCAGAUUAGGUGUUUCUUAUCAGGGUGAGCUCAGGGUUCCACCAGGCAGAAAUACAUGGGUUGGCCUAAUUAUAUUUCAUCUGAGAUUUGGAGUCGUCUUCUAAGGUCAUUCAGGUUGUUGGCAGAUUUUUCAGUUUCUUGUGGUUUUAGGACCAAGAUUUUUCUUGCUGGCUUCAGCUAGAAGUGGGGUGGGGUAUUUUUAUCUCCCAGAGACUAUCCAGCAUUCUAUCCAUGAGACUUUCUUACAACAUGGCAACCUGUUUCUUCAGGGCCAGCAUGACUGUUUCUGAUUGCUAGAGUCUCCUUUAAGUGUUCACCUGAUUAGCCCAGGUCCACCCAGGAUAAUCUUCUAAUUAACUCAGAAGCAACUGAUCAGACACUUUGGUUACAUCUGCAAAAUCUUUUCAUAGUUGCUACUGAAUGUUACACAUAAUCACAGAAGUGAUAACUUGCCAUAUUCACAGGUGAUCAUACUCAAGAGCAGUAGUAUGCUAGGGAUGGGAAUCCUAGCAUACUCCUAAUCCUAAUUCCACCUACCACACUGUUCUAACCCUUCAGACUCUUCGUAAGUAUUUAACAUAUUUGUGUGAAUAAAUGAGUAAAAGUCAAUUAAAUAAGAACCAAGGAAUCAGUAAAAAUGAGAACAAUUGAUUAUAUGUUCUGAUGUAUGUUUACUAUUCUAUGUUGAAUUUGAAACAAUCAUAUGAUUGUUACAAAUUACAUAAUAUAAAGGUAAUCAAAUAGUAUUUGCUACAUCAUAUUGGGGAUUUCUGCAGCACAGUGUUGAUUAAUUAUUCUGACCAAUAAUCCCAUGCGAUGAAAGUGUUAAGCCUAAGGAUGCUAGAACGACAUGUGUAUGGAAGCCCAGCUUAUCUUCAGCAAAUCAAGAAUAAUUAAGAUCAGAACUUGGACUUCCACUGUUUAUUGUUGAAUCGUUGAUAUUCCCACUGCUUCCCUGAAACCCGAAAGGAAGAAGGCAUUUUGAUUUUGAGAUGAGAUGAUAUAAAAUUAGGCUUAGGAAGAUGUUGUCCUGACUGCACUUACGAUACUAUGGGUGAAAUUAUCCUUUAAAGGACAUAAAAUAACACAAAAGCCAUCAUAUCAUUGAGACACAAGAGACUGCAAGGAUGAAGCAAACACAGGAUGGCGUGUGGGUCUGCUCCAGUGGCCAUAGUAAAGUGUCCCAGAUCGCGUGACUUAAAGAACAGACAGUUCUGGAUUCCAGAAGUCCAUGACCAAAGUGGCAGAAAAUUCUGUUUGCAGUGAGGACUGUCCUCCCCACCUGUGGACAGCCAUUUCCUCAUUAUGAUCUACAUGGCCUUUCUUUGGGGGAUGCACAUGGAGAAGUUGUGUUCUCUUUCUUUUCUUGUAAGGAAACUAACCCUAAUUAAAUUAGGGCUCCUUAGGGUUAAAUGAUGGGACCUCAGUUAACCUAAAUUAUCUCUUAGAUCCAACCAAAAUAUGGUUACUUUGAGGGUUAGGGUUUUAAUGUAUGAAUUUUGAGGGGACACAAACAGACUGGGACAUUAUGAAAAACAAAGAAAACUUCCAAAGGAAGCCAGUUAAGGAGAGAAGUUUCAGGCUUUGGAUUUGGAUCAUCUGCCUUUGAAUUUUAACUCUGCCUUGUGUCCAUAUCAGGCACAAAUCCAAAUUCUAUGGCUCCUGGAACUUAUACAAUUUGAGAAAUCCUCUUUAAGAUAGAGAAUACAAAAUUAGGUACAGAAUCUUAGAAGAGGGUCUAUUCAAAGACAGGGCUCUGAAAUUUCAGAGCCUUAACUUCACAGUAAGUUUGCCUCUACCGCUGAGGAAAUUAUACUAAGCCUCAGUUUUCUCAACUGUAAAACUGAAAUAAUAAUUAUCAUAUUUAAACCAUAGGUGCAUUGAGAGGGUUAAACCAAAGUUCAACUAAUAAACUUUCCUAGUUAGCUAUUGUUAUUGCUACCUUUAUUAUUAUUGUCACCAUGAUAAUUAUUGUCAGCCCUUCAUUUUAUAAAUGAGGAAACAGUCAAGAAGUCAUUAGAGGACUUGCCAUAUUUCAUGCAAUCAAUGAUCUGAGAGAUUGGGCCAGAGUAAAACCCUUGGCCCUGCUUCUUGGGACCCUAUGGAGGCAGCCCUAUACUCCUUCCUCGUGUUCAUAUCUCUGACAAUAUGUCAGUAUAAUAGCAUAAUCUUCACCCUCAACAUUUACUCUACAACUAUUAAAUAAAAGCAGUCAAAAUAGUAGAUAUUAAUUUGGUUGAAUUUAAACUUAAAAAAAAAACAUUUUUAUAUACAUCUAAUGGCAUUAAGGUUGUGAGGGGAAAAAGCUCGACCCAUUAAAUUCUGUUUUGUCACUUGUGGAUAUUUUGGAUUGGAAGGUCUAGCUUCCAUCUUCCUUUGGGAUGACUUGGAAACAACGAAUUUCCAAUGUAAUUUCCUUUGGGAGUGAUUCCAGGUUCCCAUAUGUGCAGACUCUGUUAGUGACAUUAGAUUUUCCUGGGAAAGGUCUGAGGAGUUAGUCCCAGGGGCUCUAGUUCUGCCCCUUGGAACUACAUACUGAAUGACAGAAGCUGGCUCGUCUCCAUUCUUCUCACAGCUCCACAUACGUGAGAAUCUCUUCAUGUUAUCUUGACUCUGGCAGGACUCUCUGCCUCAGAGCUGGUUUUUAACACUUCUAAAGUCGAGAUAAUGUUGAUUCUGAUGUACCUGAGCAGUUCCUUUUUUUUUUUUUUAAAGUGACUCACACAUUUAUUCUGGCUUGCUCGUCAGGGCGCAGCAGUUUAAGUGUGGUUGGUAUUAGAUUAGACCCAAACACACUAAUCCUUAAAGUUAAUAUGGAAUGAAGGAUAAGUGAUAUUUCACUGAGGGAUCUAAGUCUUUGACCUGUGAGUCUGUAUAAAAAAACAUUGAAGCCCCUAACAAACAUUUGUAUCAUUUUCAAAUGUGCACGAUUAAUUAUACACAUUUUGCAAAACUCUCAAACCAAGUAGGAAACUAGUAGAAUCUUACAUGUGUGUGAUCCAGAUUAGGACUGGUUUUUACUAUUAUUGAUCACAAUGAGCAUGGCUAAAUUAUUGAAGCUAGAGUUUUUGCUUAUGUACAAACUAUAAAAUGAAGUUUGGGAAAUUCCUGAGGAAAAAAUGUCACUUAUUUUUGAGGAGAUUGUGAACACCUUAGAGUUAUUCUUCUUAUCAUUAUUAAUAUAUCUAUCAGAAAUAAUUUAUUAAGGUUGUAUGAUUAGAAAACCAAUGCUAAUUCUUGCUUGUAGGAUAUUCCUGAGAACAAUCCUGGUUUAUCCAUCAGCUAGGCCUGCUAUUUGUCCAAGCAUGCCUGCUAAAGGGCCUUGUCCCCUCUCUUUUCCAUCCCUCAGGGUGGGCAGUAGUGAAGCUGGUGUCCUCUUCCUCUCGACUUUCCCUCUUUGCCUGACCUGAUUGCAGCCCUUCUGCUCUGCUGGUUUCUGGCCACCACACCUGUAUCCUUCAGCUUUGGUCUCACAUUCCUGGUUAUAUCGGGUCCUCAACAAACCAGCUUCCCAACCCUCCUCACUAGAGAUUUUCCUUGGCAUCUGGACUCCAUUCAUUUCUCCUAGUCCUUGUUUCAACAACUUGUACUGACUUUGAGUUAGAAGUUAUUAAGGCGUUAAAUUCCUAGUACACACAAAGAAGAAAACGCCUGAUGAUCAAGACUUCCAGCCUUUUCUUUGUAAACUCAUUUUAUAAUAUAAUAUAAAAAGACAUAAAAAAUGAUUUUGUGAGGAGCAAAGCAGCAUCAUAAUUUUUUUAUAUCUCCAUGAAUCCAAAUAUUAUCUUCUACUGGGGCUUCUCAUUUGAUAUCCAUUAUCACAUUAUUCUGUGUGCUGUUAUUUGCCAGCAUGGGAUUGUUUACUUUCUAACAUUAAUCAGGAGGAUAGUGGGUCCAGGAAUAAUAACUUCUUGGAGUUGAACUUGGAUCAGUGAUUCUCAACCAUAUCAAUUAUUCAACAUGUGCUAGGCCCUGUUCUAGGUAUGACACUUGGGAUAACCUGGCCAAGAAGAUAGCCAAACAAAUAAAUAUCCCUGUCCUUAGGAUAGAUGUAUUUCCCAUUUAUCAAACAUGCAUAAAAAUACAUGUGAAUUUAUAUAUUUACUUAUAUUCUACAUAUAUUCCUGUAUUUUGCCUUUGGGAUAUAGCAGUUACUGUUGUAUAGGAAGUAGAGACUCUUCCAACAAAGUCAAAAUAUGUCAUAUUGGCUUUUCAAACUGGAGGGACUUUGGCAGGCGUCUCUUAAAUACACACGAGGGACACCUUCCAUGCUUCUGAAGAAUGCUGGUGUGACACACUUUUCAUGUGGAGAUGGACUGAGCCACCAAAGGAAAAAAUGCUACAAUCCCAAUUGAAGCAAUGCAUAUAGUCAGUGCUAGCCAGAAUCACCAGCCGGUCCAGUUCAGCAACCACAGACUCCAAAUCAAGAGAUAAAGACAAAAUAAUGAAAAAAAAUAGAGCAACUAAAAUAAAAUAAAACAACAGUUUGGGAUCCUCCCAAACUUCACAGUUCCAUUUCUGCCAGUAGUUAAAUAGUAUAUCAUUGUUUUCAAAGGUAGGGAUAAGAAGUUCACAGGAGUAGGCUUUAGACAAAGUAUGGAGAAUUGAUUGUCACUGCUUAAGAGAUUUGGAAAGUAAAUAAUUAAGCUUGGAUUUAAGAAAAGACUAUUAUCACACACACACACACACACACACACACUCAUAUACACACACUCCAUGCUGAUCCACGUCCUGUGUGUUUGUGCCUAUGGAAUAGAAGAAUGUGCGUUGUGGGUUGGGGAUAUGUAAAGUAUUCCCUAGCUUCAGUACCCGUAAUCUCUCAGAUGCUUCAUAAAUGCACAAGAUGCUCCCUGGGCUGGGUUUUUAAAUCUCUGAAUUAGCUGAAACAGUUGUAAAAUCACAUGGAGCCAGACAGUUUACAAUCAACUGCAAAUCAAAAGAGGCUCCUAUAUGUUGUUUGUUCUAGCAGGCAUGGGGAAUGCACUGAACUUGCGAAAUGUGCUUUUGAGAUCCCAUUAAAAAAUCUGCUUCCUAUUACAACCUCCUAUCUCCCCGAUCCUCAUUUUCCCUUCUUACUCCCAGAUUAGAGGUAGGGAAAAUUCUCAGUGCCAGGAGCAUCUAGGAGGUGGUUUUUUAACACAGGCUGUGAGGGCUCAUUGAGUGCACCUGGUCUGUGUUCCUCAUUAGAUCCUACACCUACCCAGUCCUGACAUCAGAACUGAUUUCUGUCAUCUCUAAUGUGCCUGAAAAAAUUCUUUCAAGGCAGUUUCCUCUUCUAACACAUCCCCAGGGAAUUUCCCCUAGAGGGUGUAAGGCAACAUUAGAUUGUGACUAUGAUAAGAUAUUCCCAUGUUGGAAGAGUUUUGUAUGAAAAGCAGCACAUUACAUCUGUUGUUUUCCUUAUUUAGGGUCUAUUUCACACUGAAUGAUACUGGAACACAACCCAGGACUCUGUCUUGACUCCCCUGCAGUCUUGUACUUCCUCCUCAAUGACGGCAGAUCCUGAAACACUUAGUGACAUAUGGUAGCCUAUGUGUGAAGUGUGCUGAGUGUAGUACAUUUGCUUUCUGACUCUGGAGUGUUGUGUUUCAUUUUGGGUAUCAUAUUUCUUAAAGGGGUAUUGAAAAACUGGAAUUCAGCCACCGGAAAUCUUUUCUGUAACAAGGUAGGAGGAAACUUAAUUGCAUUUGUGUCUGUAUAACUAGUACCUGCAUAGAAGAGGCUAAAAGAGUGAUGAAGAGGUAGGAAAUGCCAUUGGAAACUUAAAAGAAACUGGAGAUAUUCAUCCUAAAAGGAUCGACUAUUAUUGUUGUUAUUAUUAUUAGAGGAGGGAGUAGCCUUGACUCAAAAGCUUGAAAAGUGUCAGAUGAAAAUGUGGAUAAUUUCUUCCUUUUGCUUGUAGUUUUUCCAAUCAGCCAAACUAGAGUCAAUAUGUGGAUUCAAGAGCAAACAGAUUUUUAUUCAACAUAAAGAAGAUCAUUCUGCUUAUUAGAACUGUGCAAUGAUGAAAUAUAUGUAUGUAAGCAAAAACUACAAGAUCUUGCAGAGAGAGCAAAUUCCAGCACUGAGUAAGCAGUUGAGCCAGACCCAUAAAGAUUCCUUCCAAUUCAAAUUCCUAUAAUUUCAUCAUUUCUUUUCUUUUCUUUUCUUUCUUUUUUUUUUUCAGUGCUAGGGAUCUAAGCCAGGGUCUCACACAUGCUGGGCAAAUGCUCUACCACUGGGCUACACACCCAGCUUUCAUAAUUUCCUGAAUCAGAAGUUUCUUGUUCAAUUUUACAUUUGGAAAGAGGAUUGAUAGAAGCCUGAAAGAUUUCUCUCUUUUCUUUUUUCCAUCUCUUAAUGGCAUAAUGUAAUUGAGUCAGAUGAAUUAUUGCAUGGUCUUAACAAAGUUGGUGUUACAUCCACUUUUACUUUAUUUUAUUCCUCUUUGGGGUACAUAAUACUAUAUGAAGAAAAGCUUACAUCAGCCAAUUAUUCAUGGAUCCUCUUUGUAGUCUGACCAACUUGCAAAGAUCUAACCGUGCUUUGGCAUUAUGUCACCUUAUUGCUUUGGAGCUAACCUGUGGAUUUUGCCUAUCCCGAAUUCAUUCCUGUUUCCUCUGAUAACAGCACCCUCAUUUUUCUUUGGAGAGACUGUGCCUCUCACAUUACAUGUCAUCUUGGUGGUUCCCUCCAUUGAUAAUCCUUGCCUGUUCCCAGCUGAGGGAUAAGGACUGGGUGAAACUUGGCCAACCCUUGGCUCUCCCUACACAAGGAUAGGGAAAAGUUGGAGCUGAUUGUUUCCCAACAGCUCUGCAUAGAAAAUGCCCUUUAGUUCAUGUUUCCUAGACUCACAUACAGAUGGUAAAUUGAUCUCACAAGUUGUGUGUUUAUGUAGCCAUAUUGCUUGAUUGUUGGACGAGGAGUUUCUAUCAAGAUUUGAAUGUGUGGCCUUGUAUAUUUUCGGUGAAAAGGGAAAAUGGUAUGUAUGCAGUAUGUACAAUUAAGCAUCUUCUGGGGAGAUAUUUCUGUGGGCUCAUUUAACUAGAGGCCUUAGGGUGUGAGAAUUCCUGCUUCCUGUGGUGUUGGAAAGUUAAGGUCAAAUGCUGGAUGUGUUUCAAGUUCUGAGACAAUACCAUGCGAUUUCAAAGCUGGUGUUUGUGUGUGCGUGCAUAUGUGUGUGUACAGUACUGGGGAGGAAAAGCAGGCUCUAAAACUUUGCUUUGAAAGAUGCCAAAACACUGAGCAGCAUAUUUGUAUGAGAAAGAUCUGUGUGUUUGGAUGGAACCUGCCUCUUUGGUAAACACAGGGUGCCGAGAGGCCUGCCUCCUGUUGCCCUGCGUUUGAACUUUUGUUCACAGGAGCAAUUUCCCUCACCUUGGCUGUUGAACUUCCCUUUGUAGUGAAAUUCACAAGUACUGUGAGCUGGCAAGAAAACGAUGGAAAGAAAGGGUGUGUUGGACUAGAUUGCAUUCUUUCCUGAACACUCUGAAAUAUCAGGAUGUAUGGAACAUGAGUCAUCAUUUUCUGUUGGAAACUUUUAUGACCUUUACAGAGCAGGCCAAAUUCCUCCCAAGCUGUGCUUCUUCACACCCCGGUGCAUAACAGUAAAAGGGCAAAUCCGAGGGAGGCAGAAACAUAUUCCUAUUUUUUCUUGCAAUCUGUUACACGUUAUUGUUCUUCUGACACACUUUGCUUCACAUGACAGUACUAAUGGAGAAAACUAAGGUCAAGUGUGAGAGAGACUUACCUGGUCUGCCUAGCAGGACUUUUCAAACUUUGCUAGAAUUAGAAAAGUAGAGAAGGAGAGAAUGUUUUGCUGAGGACUUAGGAGAAUAACUUAGUUAUCAGGUAAAUCCCUGAAGGAAGAAGACUGCAUUCAAAAUUGUGAAUCCCAGCCACUUGGCAAGCUUGAAAUUGAUGUGACAGACCAGAAAAAAAGAGACAAAGGUAUUGCAACAGUGUUCAGGCCAGGGGCAAUUCUGUAGAGGGUCCUGCUACUUUAUCAGCCCUGAGGGCAUCAUGGUAUUGACCAAUGAGGUCAAUAGGAAGAACUUGAACAAUCAAGGAAAAUUAAUGUUGCAUACACUAUAUACCAUGAAUUGGGGGCAUGGGGUAAGGGAGCAAACUGGGACAUAUCCCUGGAUAAUCAACAACUUUUAAGUAACUGGUCAUUGAAAACUUUGGCCAAAGAAGAAUCCAGUUGUCUCAGCCCUCCCACCUCUGGCUUUUUUUUUUUUUUUUAAGGAAUAUUUAAUCUUUCUAAAAUAAUUUAGAAUUGAGAAAGUCUACAUAGUGAAUUUUUCUUAUCUAGAACUGACACCUUUAAGGCUUCUGACUACUUUUACUUUGGCAAAUUUUAAUACUAAUUUUUCUUAACUGAAUUACACACUUUGCUUUCUUAGAAGAUUUUGUUACGAUAAUACACACUUUCAUUUUUCUAUUUAUCAUCAGAUGCUCAGAUGUCACCUCUCAUAGCUGCUGACCCUGCCUCUAAUAGACUGUCCCCAUGUCUAAUUUGCUACCUCUAAAUAGCAAUGGCUAAAAAAUCAGCAUGGCUAGGCUUGGAAAUUUAUUUAUAUUGAUUAUAUAUGUCUUUUAAGGAAGCAGAAAAAACUCUCUGAAGUCAAGUGCAUGAACUUCAGUGAAUGAGUUUGGUGGCAUGCAUUUCUGCUAGAGACCUUUAGAAAUGCUUCUCCAAGGCCUUUUCUUGGCCAUCUUUGGUUCUCGGUGGUGUCCUAGAUAUUUGAAGUUACCAGAUAAGUGACCCUCAGAUAAGUAAAGAGUCAUUGGACUGACUGUUCUUCAAAGGUUAGAAAACGAAUCAAAUAUGUCUAUCUCCCAAUUGGGAGCUGGAGUCAGCUGCAGUGAUCAUUUAAAUUCAGCAGCUUAAUCACUAUUCCCAUGUGAACUUUUUGUGUGAAUGCAGAGUCUUUCACAGUGAAGAUGUCUGUGUCAAUGGGCAGAGAAGCAGCAGACAGCUCCUGAAGAGGCUGCACACUGGGGACAGGCUGGAUGUGCAGUGUUUAGAGGUGACAGACAAAAUGGAGAGAAGCCUUCUGCAGAGGGCAGUGAGGGACUCUGACUUUUUAAUUGAGCUGUAUGUAAAAUGAUGAAUGACCUGUUCUUUGGAACUGAGUUUAUCAAGAAUUCAAAUGCUCUGUAAAACUUAGAUCAUCUUGUAGGUGGGAGGAAGUGUCCCCCCCACCCCAACACUUUUAUUUUAGGACAAGAAAUCUAAGCUCAGAAUAAGAUUCUUUGUCCUUGGAUGAGCUGGCACGAGAAUCUAGAGUCUGUGACUCCAAAUCCAGCAGUAUUUUUUUCUAUACCAUAAUGCUUUCAAAGUGUAAAAUGUUGUGAAGCCAACCAAAGGUUUUCUAUACUAGAAGCAAACCUACUGCUGUUUUCUGGAUGGAAAAACCGUGAUGUAUUGGAUGGUUUUCAUAUUCAAACAAAAGAUGGCAAUUGAUCAUGUAUGGAGUAAUUGCCAAAUGAUUCAGAAAAGUUGUUUUUAUCUUUUUUAUCUAUCAGUAGAUGGCAGGAGAUACCAUCAAAUCAAGAUACAAAAAGUGACACAAAUGAUGGAAUUUAGUCAUUGUUCCUUGUAUUACCUAGAAAAAUUGGCAUCCAGGGUAGUCAGUGUUCUGUUAUGUUGAUACCUGGGGUGAAACUGUUUUUGAAUAUAUAUUUGGGUUCAAUUAUUUGCUUCCCCAUUAAUCUUCAAAAUUACAGUUGGUUUAAAACAAUAAUGAAAUGUUGGAACUAAAUUUACUCUCUUUUGAAGAGACACCUGGAGAAAUGAUUCAUCACUCAUGUUGCUAAGAUUAAUUGGGCAUUCUAAUUGUGUUAAGUGGAUUUGCACACCAUGGAAGAAUCCAGGAGCUUUUCCUACUUUCUUAUCCGUCUGCCCUUUUUCUUCAAGCAGAGAAGUGAAACUAGAGCUAGCUAACAUCAGUGUGGGUCAGGGCAACCCAGCAUAAUAAAUGGCUUUACCCAAGAUUAAUGCAGAGAGAGCACAACAGUUAAAGUGAUACCACAUAAACACAAGGAUAUUUUCAUCAAGCCUUAAUUGACUCUGGCACCAUGAGCUGAUAUUUCCUUACUCAAACAGAGGUCAUUUUCAUUAGGAUUGAAUUUGAUUUUACUUGGUUUUUUUGAAGUACAGAAUUCUCUUAGAAGUGUUGGAGAAUGUUUCUCUAAUUUGGAGAUUACAAAGAGGUCAAGUACCUGUGGAAUUUCAAGAACUGAAAUUUGUAAGUCCUCAAAUGUGUUGUUCCCUUUUUAUAUUCUUGUUAUCACUUAGUACGAUACAAAGCAUUUGAAUCAGCCACUUUUUUUUUUAACUCUUUUGUCACUUGAGUCUUAGUUUUUGGAGAAUUUUUGAGAAAAACAUCAUUCAAUUCAUAUAUUGAUUUCUCCCCCUCUUUUAGACAACAGCUGAACUGGGAAGGUUAGAGAGGCUAACUGCAAGAGUACUGACAUGGAGAUCAAGUCUGACAUUACUCCCCGAGGAUGCCAAGCUUCUUGUCAUUGUGGCAUGGCAUGUGUGGCUGCCAGCUGCGGGCUGCAUGCUAUUGAAAGCGUUUCAUCUCUGAAGACACAAGCGGAACUGAACUUGCUUGACAUAGACUCUACUACUUUUCCUGUAAAAUUUGGCACUGGGGAAAAUCUUUUACUGAAAACACAUUAUUUUCUCCUUAAAAAAAAGUCCAAACUGCAGCCAGUACCAAAAUAUCCUAUCAAGGAAUACAAGAAACAGUCUCCCCAGACUGUGCUAUGCCACUGAAAUCUCCACCCUUGACAAGGAUUAGCAUUGCUGAGCUUAGCCCUGUGCUGUCACACUGUUGGAGAUGCUCUUUGGGGUCAGGGUAUAGGACCUCCCAGUGUGGGAAAUUAGGAAGAACCAAGCAGUUCUGCCAUUGGCAAAGUAGAGCCUAUAUACCCUACUUCAGUGUUUUUGCCUCUUUCUGUAUGCUGUUUAAUAACACUCUUUCAUACUCAAAAGUGAUGAUAAAUUACAUGGUCACACUAUUCAUUGAUUAUCUUCUUCUUAUUUCCCUUUCAUAAGGCUCUACUUUUCUGUUUUGUUUGUAUCAUUAUCUGCUAAGUUUAAUUGCUAAGGAUACAUGUUGCUAUUCUUCUCUGUCUAAACUCAUUUAUAACAAAGUAUCAUAUAAGUUCUUUUACAUAAUAAAUUACAAACGAUUGAUUAAAGCUUAAGAACCAUCCCUCCUGAAUGUAUGUUCAUUUUAAUAGAAAACAAACUUGUACAUCCAAAGAAAUUAACCUCUAAUCAGAUAAUUGUUGCAAAGGAUUUGAGACUUUAUCCUACUUGAAGGCUAACAAGAAUGCCUGUCACAUUUUCAUGGAUGCUAGAAAAAGAUAUGAGACUUGAGGGUCAGAGAUAAAGGAUUCUUUAUUAUGGUAAUAUUAAUAGCCAUAUAUUCAUUCUAAUUCUCACAGGGAUGUUUAAAGGGCCAGGUGUUAUAGGGGGAGGGAGAAGGAAUCCAGAACUGAGUGAACUUGAAUCUUAUAUCAUGGGCGAUAAGUAUGUUUACCCCUUGCUUUAGAGAAAGACACCAUAUAUUCCACAUGGUUCAUUAAAUAAACAUAGGAUAAAGACAAGAAGAAACAUGAGAGACCAGUAAAGAUUUGUCUCCUAACAACAAUAGCAGGAUCAAAAGAGAAAUGGAAGUGGUCAUUGUAAGGAUUUGUUCUUGGUAAAUUUUAAGUCUUACGAGAGGCAAUCAUGUACUUUGCUUAUGCAGUGUCUGACUCUCAGUUUUCCAAAUUAUCCCAGAAAAUCAUCUUUCUACUCGAAGUCUUUUUCUAUCAAUAAAUACAUAAUUGAUACCUUGGUUUUAUUUUUUUGUUGGCAAUAAGAGUAAUACACACUAAUUUUAGAAAAUGGGGUGAAAUAUAAAGAAAAAUACAAAUACUGUUUAUAAUUUAAUCACUUAAGUAGUCUCUUAAAAUAUUGGCUUUUCCAAUUAUAUGUUAUUUUUCAUAUAAAUUGAGACAAUUUUAUAUACUCAUGUAUCUUGGUAGUUUUGAUUUUUUUUACAUAUUGAAAGCAUUAUUUUAAAUUUUGAAUUCUUGCUUUAAAUUAUGAUUUUAAAUAAUCACAUAAUAUUCUAUCUUUAGUAUGCCACUUUAUAAACUAUUCCUUUUGCAUUAGAAAAUUUGAUACUAAAUACCAUAAAGAUGAGCAUUCUGGUACAUAAAAGGCUCUGGUGCCUUUAGCUAGAUUCCUGUAAGAAAGAUUAUUGAGUUGAAGGAUCGACUUUUAUAGUAAAGUUCUUGUCUCUAUUGCCAGACUGCUUUCAAGAAAAAUUACCGGUUUAUAUAUAUGGCACAUAUAUAUUGGAGACUGCUAUUAUCCUCCCAUCUUUAUUACAAUUGAAUGUUUUAAUUUUAGGAAUAAAAUAGUUGAACAAUGUUUUUAAGACUUAAGAUUCUUCAGUUAUUAAUUAGUAAGAAGAAAAUAAAGUUGUCUCUUGGUAUAUGGAGGAAUUUGGUUUUAGGACCAAAAAUCUACUGAUAUACAAAUACCUUAUAUAAAAUGGUGUGUUUUUUUAAUACUACCUUGCACAUUCUCUCAUAUAGCUUAAAUCAUCUCUAGAUUUCUUAUUUUGCUAAUUCAACAUAAAUACUAGGUAAAUAGUUGUUAUAUGCUAUGGCUUAAAGAAUAAUUAAGGCAAAAUGAUCUGCACUUGUAUAACCAUAAUUUAAAAAUAUAUAUUUUCAGUCGAGGUUGGUUGAAUCAAUGGAUACAGAACAUUUAGAUGCAGAGAGGCAACUGUAUUUUUCUAUGUGUAAAUUCAUCAUUAGUAUUUGUUUUUGAAAACCUGUUCAUGCUCUUUCCUCAUUAUUUUAAUAUAUUUAUUACCAAAGAAAAAUAUUUGUAAA